rnacentral:lncRNA from 1 species
AUAUUUCCUCAGUCGACACUGCAAGUCCAAGACCUAAGGGGAUGUGUGUAUGUGUGUAUGUUUGUGUUUGUGUGUGUGUGUGGUGAAUUAUCAGAGAGGGAACCAAAGGCUAAAGGGAGCAGAGGACCUGAUAAGACGGCACCAGCGAGGAAUCCAAAAGAAACUUCUGCCCACAGCUUCCUCAGUCUCUAUAGCAACAGCUGCCGAGGCUCCGUGCAGAAAAGAGACGAUUGGUAUUCUCCCUUACCUCCUCCUCACCGACAGCAAACAUCACUCUCAUCAAAGGCUCCCGUCUUUGAUCAGGUCUUCAAAGAAGCGUGUCAUCAAAGUCUAUCAGGAGCAUUGAUCCUCACGCACCUGCACCUCUCAUCUCCUCUCAGAAAAAUAAAAGAGUGCAUCUCGAGCCCCCGUUCUGUGCUGCAGCGUUAUUCCCAUGAUUCUUUUUUCAUGCUCCAGCCGCUUGUGUCAACCUGGCUGGAGCUCGGGAGGGAGGGAAUUUGUGAAUCAACACUGCCUCUGGUGGACUGAGUCUGCAUGUCCGGUGAGACACCAUAAACACCUGCAGUACAGUUCAGAGCAGAUGCUGCAGUGAAAAAAAAUAAAAAUGACCUAUAUCUCCUGAACGCUCGUGGAUGCCCAUAUUGAGCCGCUCUCAUAGAGGAGAGUUCAACUCUUAUCCGGGUAAUGUGGUUAAUCAAUUAGAAGUCCUCGUCCCCAGAGGGUAUUCACAUUAACUUGAGUAUAGGUUUUCACUUAGAGUGGAUCAGUGAUCUCUGCAGUGGCUUCCAC